UGAGUAACACGUAUCCAACCUGCCGUCUACUCUUGGCCAGCCUUCUGAAAGGAAGAUUAAUCCAGGAUGGCAUCAUGAGUUCACAUGUCCGCAUGAUUAAAGGUAUUUUCCGGUAGACGAUGGGGAUGCGUUCCAUUAGAUAGUGGGCGGGGUAACGGCCCACCUAGUCAACGAUGGAUAGGGGUUCUGAGAGGAAGGUCCCCCACAUUGGAACUGAGACACGGUCCAA
rnacentral:rRNA from 1 species